UGUGCGGACGCCUGACAUUGAACCUGCUCUUAUUGGAACGAAACGACUCCGGUCGUGCUGACCUCACCGUCUUCCAGCCUUGUUGUCCCGUCAGCCUUCUUGACGAGUUGUUGCAUGAUCGCUAACAUGAAGGGGAACCGAGUCCGAGACGUUUGAACAGAAGAGACUGUGAAUCCAGUUUCAUGCUCCGCUGCCUAUCGGUGAGGAUCCACUCCUCAGCUCCACAAGCUUCGAUGCGACCCAAGAGCGAAAAAUUCCCCAAUUGUCAGGCCACCCUUUGAGGAACUCGUCACGCGGCUCCAACCGACCGUCAACGCUUCUUUUUGAAAACGUGCUCUUUUUGUUUACUUUGGCGGGCACUUGGGUUGAAAUUGUUUCCGUCUGAUGUCGGCCUUGAGCUUGGAUGCGGGCGGGCUUGUCUGCCAACUAGCGGUGAACACUGUUAUUACAAUUUAAAACCGCCCCGCCACAGAAAACGUCUUGAUUUAGUGUUUGAGAGUGCUGAUGUUUGAAUCCAGCC